UGGACAGGGCGCCAAUCAGUUGUAGUAUCUGAUAAUCCAUUCUAUAAAAAUCUUGAUUUACUGAUAUAAUCACCUGCCCGGUAAAUUUACCAGGGAGGUGAUGGGCUAGUGAUUAAGCAUUGGGCUUGAGACCAGAGGAUCCUCAGUUCAAAUCCCAGCUUGACCGGAAAAAUCACUAAGGGCCCUUGGGCAAGGUUCUUAAUCCCCUUGUUUCGCCGGGUGUGAAACUUGUGUGUCUGAAU